UAGGGAAUCUUCGGCAAUGGGGGCAACCCUGACCGAGCAACGCCGCGUGAGUGAAGAAGGUUUUCGGAUCGUAAAGCUCUGUUUUAAGAGAAGAACGUGUGUGAGAGUGGAAAGUUCACACAGUGACGGUAACUUACCAGAAAGGGACGGCUAACUACGUGCCAGUAGCCGCGGUAAUACGUAGGUCCCGAGCGUUGUCCGGAUUUAUUGGGCGUAAAGCGAGCGCAGGCGGUUUAAUAAGUCUGAAGUUAAAGGCAGUGGCUUAACCAUUGUUCGCUUUGGAAACUGUUAAACUUGAGUGCAGAAGGGGAGAGUGGAAUUCCAUGUGUAGCGGUGAAAUGCGUAGAUAUAUGGAGGAACACCGGUGGCGAAAGCGGCUCUCUGGUCUGUAACUGACGCUGAGGCUCGAAAGCGUGGGGAGCAAACAGG
rnacentral:rRNA from 1 species